rnacentral:rRNA from 1 species
UGGGGAAUAUUGGACAAUGGGCGCAAGCCUGAUCCAGCCAUGCCGCGUGAGUGAUGAAGGCCCUUGGGUUGUAAAGCUCUUUCACCGGUGAAGAUAAUGACGGUAACCGGAGAAGAAGCCCCGGCUAACUUCGUGCCAGCAGCCGCGGUAAUACGAAGGGGGCUAGCGUUGUUCGGAUUUACUGGGCGUAAAGCGCACGUAGGCGGACUUUUAAGUCAGGGGUGAAAUCCCGGGGCUCAACCCCGGAACUGCCUUUGAUACUGGAAGUCUUGAGUAUGGUAGAGGUGAGUGGAAUUCCGGGUGUAGAGGUGAAAUUCGUAGAUAUUCGGAGGAACACCAGUGGCGAAGGCGGCUCACUGGACCAUUACUGACGCUGAGGUGCGAAAGCGUGGGGGGCAAACAGG